GAUGAACGCUGGCGGCGUGCCUAAUACAUGCAAGUCGAGCGAACGGACGAGAAGCUUGCUUUUCUGAUGUUAGCGGCGGACGGGUGAGUAACACGUGGAUAACCUACCUAUAAGACUGGGAUAACUUCGGGAAACCGGAGCUAAUACCGGAUAAUAUUUUGAACCGCAUGGUUCAACAGUGAAAGACGGUCUUGCUGUCACUUAUAGAUGGAUCCGCGCUGCAUUAGCUAGUUGGUAAGGUAACGGCUUACCAAGGCAACGAUGCAUAGCCGACCUGAGAGGGAGAUCGGCCACACUGGAACUGAGACACGGUCCAGACUCCUACGGGAGGCAGCAGUAGGGAAUCUUCCGCAAUGGACGAAAGCCUGACGGAGCAACGCCGCGUGAGUGAUGAAGGUCUUCGGAUCGGAAAACUCUGUUAGUAGGGAAGAACAUAUGUGUAAGUAACUGUGCACAUCUUGACGGUACCUAAUCAGAAAGCCACGGCUAACUACGUG
rnacentral:rRNA from 1 species